rnacentral:rRNA from 1 species
AAUGAACGUUGGCGACGUGGAUUAGGCAUGCAAGUCGAGCGGGCCAGCAAUGGUCAGCGGCGCAAGGGUGAGUAAGGCGACGGCAAUCAACCCCGAGGAUGGGUAUAGCCGCGGGAAACUGCGGGUAAUCCCCAGCGAUGCGAGGACGUCGGCAUCGACGUUUCGCCAAAGGAUUCGUCCGCCUCGGGACGAGCCGUCGUGGUAUUAGGUCGUUGGCGGGGUAGCGGCCCACCAAGCCUUCGAUGCCUACCGGGCGUGCGAGCGCGGCCCGGCACACUGGGACUGAGACACUGCCCAGACUCCUACGGGAGGCUGCAGUCGAGAAUCUUCGGCAAUGGGCGCAAGCCUGACCGAGCGACGUCGCGUGGAGGACGAAGGCCUUCGGGUUGUAAACUCCUGUCGAGGGGGAGAAAGGUUUCGCAAGAAGCUUGAUCGAUCCCUGGAGGAAGCACGGGCUAAGUUCGUGCCAGCAGCCGCCGUAAUAC